CGAAAUUACUGGGGGUGCCUAAAUUGGAGAUGGUAAUCCAUUUGGUGAGAAGGAAAGGUUAAAAUAUGAUUUUGUGCGAAAUUCGCAUUAAUCCACGUUGCGAAUGAUUUACGGCGGACAACACCUGGAUACAGGAAACUGAACAGCCUCCGCAAAGGCCGCAAUUACGCCUAUUUAGUUAUGAUAAAUAUUUCUUGUUGGGUUCGCGCAUACCGAGAAGAAAAAUCUAAUCACUGUUAUUAGGGGACUAUUAAAUGCAAAUUGCCAAUUUUUUUUGUGUUGGAAUUCUGCGAGGAUUUGUUAUUUGAACAAACCAUCCUGCUGAAUGUUUUUUUAAGAAAAUCAGUUUGUUAAAUAUAUUGAAUAAACUAAUUAUAACAAGAAAACUAA